rnacentral:rRNA from 1 species
UACGUAGGGUGCAAGCGUUGUCCGGAAUUAUUGGGCGUAAAGAGCUCGUAGGCGGCUUGUCACGUCGAUUGUGAAAGCCCGAGGCUUAACCUCGGGUCUGCAGUCGAUACGGGCUAGCUAGAGUGUGGUAGGGGAGAUCGGAAUUCCUGGUGUAGCGGUGAAAUGCGCAGAUAUCAGGAGGAACACCGGUGGCGAAGGCGGAUCUCUGGGCCAUUACUGACGCUGAGACGCGAAAGCGUGGGGAGCGAACAGG